CACGAACGCUGGCGGCAGGCUUAACACAUGCAAGUCGAGCGCCCCGCAAGGGGAGCGGCAGACGGGUGAGUAACGCGUGGGAAUCUACCCAUCUCUACGGAAUAACGCAUGGAAACGUGUGCUAAUACCGUAUACGACCUUCGGGAGAAAGAUUUAUCGGAGAUGGAUGAGCCCGCGUUGGAUUAGCUAGUUGGUGGGGUAAGGGCCUACCAAGGCGACGAUCCAUAGCUGGUCUGAGAGGAUGAUCAGCCACACUGGGACUGAGACACGGCCCAGACUCCUACGGGAGGCAGCAGUGGGGAAUAUUGGACAAUGGGCGCAAGCCUGAUCCAGCCAUGCCGCGUGAGUGAUGAAGGCCCUAGGGUUGUAAAGCUCUUUCACCGGUGAAGAUAAUGACGGUAACCGGAGAAGAAGCCCCGGCUAACUUCGUGCCAGCCGCCGCGGUAAGAC
rnacentral:rRNA from 1 species